rnacentral:sRNA from 1 species
GCUGCCUUCUCCUGAGAGACGGAGCAACAGCCAGACCCCUGCCCAGGCCUAGCCGGAGCUGCAACCCGAGCGCGGUGGUGCCCUCAGCCCCGUCCUCUUGUCCUCCUCAGCCUCGGUGCCUUGGAAUUUGUGUCGCUGAGUCAGCAAGCCUUUCAGAUUUGCCCGGUUUUUGUUGUUUGUGGUUUGUAUCAAGAUGGGAACUCAAACAAGUCAUUCCUCCUAAGGAGCUGGUGUCUUCAUCCAGAAGGGACAGUUUGUGCCAGCUCUCCAGAGAGAAAAGAUCUGCCGGAGGUGCUGGGCAAUGAUCCCAGGACUCCAGGCCAGAGGGGUCUGAAGCUGUUUGGGAAAGCAGCGGGACUCCUUGGGAAGAUGGCCAUGGCCCCAAGCCCUUCCCUGGUGCAGGUGUACACCAGCCCCGUGGCUGUGGCCGUGUGGGAAUGGCAGGACGGGCUGGGCACCUGGCACCCCUACAGUGCCACCGUCUGCAGCUUCAUCGAGCAGCAGUUUGUCCAGCAGAAGGGCCAACGUUUUGGGCUUGGGAGCAUGGCCCACAGCAUCCCCUUGGGCCAGGCAGACCCCUCGCUGGCCCCUUACAUUAUUGACCUCCCCAGCUGGACCCAGUUCCGCCAGGACACCGGCACCAUGUGGGCUGUGUGGAGACACCUGUUCCCCCAGCACUCAGCCCCUGGCCGAGGUGUCGUCUGGGAGUGGCUGAGCAACGAUGGCUCCUGGACCGCCUAUGAAGCCAGCGUCGGUGACUAUCUGGAGCAGCAGGUGGCCAGGGGCAACCAGCUCGUGGACUUGGCCCCCCUGGGGUACAACUACACUGUCAACUACACCACCCACACGCAGACCAACAAGACUUCCAGCUUCUGCCGCAGCGUGCGGCGCCAAGCAGGGCCGCCUUACCCGGUGACCACCAUCAUCGCUCCGCCGGGCCACACAGGCGUUGCCUGCUCUUGCCACCAGUUCCUCAGUGGCAGCAGAACUGGCCCCGUGUCAGGCCGCUACCGCCACUCCAUGACCAACCUCCCUGCAUACCUCGCCCCCCAGUAUCCCCCACACAGGACCGCUUUUGUGUUUGGGACUCACCAGGCCUUUGCACCGUACAACAAACCCUCACUCUCCGGGGCCCGGUCUGCGCCCAGGCUGAACACCACCAACUCCUGGGGCGCAGCUCCUCCUUCCCUGGGGAGCCAGCCCCUCUACCGCUCCAGCCUCUCCCACCUGGGACCGCAGCAUCUGCCCCCAGGAUCCUCCACCUCCGGUGCAGUCAGUGCCUCCCUCCCCAGCGGUCCCUCGAGCAGCCCGGGGAGCGUCCCUGCCACUGUGCCCGUGCAGAUGCCAAAGCCCAGCAGAGUCCAGCAGGCGCUCGCAGGAGCGACCCCGAAGCCAGAGCCAGAGCCAGAGCAGGUCAUAAAAAACUACACAGAAGAGCUGAAAGUGCCCCCAGAUGAGGACUGCAUCAUCUGCAUGGAGAAGCUGUCCACAGCAUCUGGAUACAGCGAUGUGACUGACAGCAAGGCAAUCGGGCCCCUGGCUGUGGGCCGCCUCACCAAGUGCAGCCACGCCUUCCACCUGCUGUGCCUCCUGGCCAUGUACUGCAACGGCAAUAAGGGCCCUGAGCACCCCAGUCCCGGAAAGCCGUUCACUGCCAGAGGGUUUCCCCGCCAGUGCUACCUUCCAGACAACGCCCAGGGCCGCAAGCCUCCAGGGGCUUCCAGAACCCGGAGACACUGGCUGACAUUCCGGCCUCCCCACAGCUGCUGACCGAUGGCCACUACAUGACGCUGCCCCUGUCUCUGGACCAGCUGCCCUGUGAUGACCCAUGGCGGGCAGCGGAGGCGCCCCCGUGCUGCAGGUGGGCCAUGACCACGGCUGCCACCAGCAGCCCUUCUGCAACGCGCCCCUCCCUGGCCCUGGACCCUAUCGGGUGAAGUGAGACCCUGUCUUGAACGAACAGGCCAGGUGCAGUGGUCACACCUGUAAUCCCAGGACUUUGGGAGGCUGAGAUCUAAAGCUUAAGGACUAUGGAGUGGAUCUCAUUGAAGUUUCAGACAAUGGAUGUGGGGUAGAAGAAGAAAACUUGGAAGGCUUAA